rnacentral:rRNA from 1 species
GACGAACGCUGGCGGCGUGCCUAAUACAUGCAAGUAGAACGCAGUUGCGAACGGGUGAGUAACGCGUAGGUAACUGCCUGGUAGCGGGGGAUAACUAUUGGAAACGAUAUCUAAUACCGCAUACUAACAGCUGGAACCGCGUUGGAUUAGCUAGUUGGUGGGGUAACGGCUCACCAAGGCAACGAUACAUAGCCGACCUGAGAAGGGGAUCGGCCACACUGGGACUGGGACACGGCCCAGACGCCUACGGGAGGCAGCAGUAGGGAAUCUUCGGCAAUGGACGGAAGUCUGGCCGAGCAACGCCGGGUGAGUGAAGAAGGUUUUCGGAUCGUAAAGCUCUGUUGUAAGAGAAGCGGUAUCUUACCAGAAAGGGACGGCUAACUACGUGCCAGCAGCCGCGGUAAUAC